rnacentral:rRNA from 1 species
AGUGAACGCUGGCGGUAGGCCUAACACAUGCAAGUCGAACGGCAGCACAGAGGAGCUUGCUCCUUGGGUGGCGAGUGGCGGACGGGUGAGGAACACAUCGGAAUCUACUCUGUCGUGGGGGAUAACGUAGGGAAACUUACGCUAAUACCGCAUACGACCUACGGGUGAAAGCAGGGGAUCUUCGGACCUUGCGCGAUUGAAUGAGCCGAUGUCGGAUUAGCUAGUUGGCGGGGUAAAGGCCCACCAAGGCGACGAUCCGUAGCUGGUCUGAGAGGAUGAUCAGCCACACUGGAACUGAGACACGGUCCAGACUCCUACGGGAGGCAGCAGUGGGGAAUAUUGGACAUUGGGCGCAAGCCUGAUCCAGCCAUACCGCGUGGGUGAAGAAGGCCUUCGGGUUGUAAAGCCCUUUUGUUGGGAAAGAAAUCCAUCUGGUUAAUACCCGGGUGGGAUGACGGUACCCAAAGAAUAAGCACCGGCUAACUUCGUGCCAGCAGCCGCCGUAA